GCCCUUGUAGCUCAGCGGAUAGAGCACCGGACUUCUAAUCCGUAGGUCGCAGGUUCAAAUCCUGCCGAGGGCG
rnacentral:tRNA from 1 species